rnacentral:rRNA from 1 species
ACGAACGCUGGCGGCGUGCUUAACACAUGCAAGUCGAACGGAAAGGCCCAGCUUGCUGGGUACUCGAGUGGCGAACGGGUGAGUAACACGUGGGUGAUCUGCCCUGCACUCUGGGAUAAGCCUGGGAAACUGGGUCUAAUACCGGAUAUGACCAACUGUCGCAUGGUGGUUGGUGGAAAGCUUUUGCGGUGUGGGAUGGGCCCGCGGCCUAUCAGCUUGUUGGUGGGGUAAUGGCCUACCAAGGCGACGACGGGUAGCCGACCUGAGAGGGUGAUCGGCCACACUGGGACUGAGACACGGCCCAGACUCCUACGGGAGGCAGCAGUGGGGAAUAUUGCACAAUGGGCGCAAGCCUGAUGCAGCGACGCCGCGUGAGGGAUGACGGCCUUCGGGUUGUAAACCUCUUUCACCAGGGACGAAGCGUGAGUGACGGUACCUGGAGAAGAAGCACCGGCCAACUACGUGCCAGCAGCCGCGGUAAUACGUAGGGUGCGAGCGUUGUCCGGAAUUACUGGGCGUAAAGAGCUCGUAGGCGGUUUGUCGCGUCGUCUGUGAAAUUCUGCAACUCAAUUGCAGGCGUGCAGGCGAUACGGGCAGACUUGAGUACUACAGGGGAGACUGGAAUUCCUGGUGUAGCGGUGAAAUGCGCAGAUAUCAGGAGGAACACCGGUGGCGAAGGCGGGUCUCUGGGUAGUAACUGACGCUGAGGAGCGAAAGCGUGGGUAGCGAACAGGAUUAGAUACCCUGGUAGUCCACGCCGUAAACGGUGGGUACUAGGUGUGGGUUCCUUUUCACGGGAUCCGUGCCGUAGCUAACGCAUUAAGUA